AUACCCACACAGUCGUCCAAACAGUUGCUUUGCGCACCCUUAGCAGAGAGGAUGAGGGUGUCAGCGCUCCUCCUCGUCAGCCUCUUCUGCCUAGAUGGCCACGCUCUCAGAGGAUCGCCAGACAUCAGGAGUUAUCAGUUUGGAUAUCCAGGUUUAGUAACUACGGAUACCCUAGAAGAAGAAGAUGCA